GACGAACGCUGGCGGCGUGCUUAACACAUGCAAGUCGAACGGAAAGGCCCUGCUUUUGUGGGGUGCUAGAGUGGCGAACGGGUGAGUAACACGUGAGUAACCUGCCCUUGACUUUGGGAUAACGUGAGGAAACUGGGGCUAAUACCGGAUAGGAGCUCGUGCUGCAUGGUGGGGGUUGGAAAGUUUCGGCGGUUGGGGAUGGACUCGCGGCUUAUCAGCUUGUUGGUGGGGUAGUGGCUUACCAAGGCUUUGACGGGUAGCCGGCCUGAGAGGGUGACCGGCCACAUUGGCACUGAUAUACGGCCCAGACUCCUACGGGAGGCAGCAGUGGGGAAUAUUGCACAAUGGGCGGAAGCCUUAUGCAGCAACGCCGCGUGCGGGAUGACGGCCUUCGGGUUGUAAACCGCUUUCGCCUGUGACGAAGCGUGAGUGACGGUAAUGGGUAAAGAAGCACCGGCUAACUACGUG
rnacentral:rRNA from 1 species